CAGCAGCCGCGGGAAAACGUAGGGUGCGAGCGUUAAUCGGAAUUACUGGGCGUAAAGCGUGCGCAGGCGGUUCGUUAAGACAGAUGUGAAAUCCCCGGGCUUAACCUGGGAACUGCAUUUGUGACUGACGGGCUAGAGUAUGGCAGAGGGGGGUAGAAUUCCACGUGUAGCAGUGAAAUGCGUAGAGAUGUGGAGGAAUACCGAUGGCGAAGGCAGCCCCCUGGGCCAAUACUGACGCUCAUGCACGAAAGCGUGGGGAGCAAACAGGAUUAGAUACCCCCGUAGUCCCUGUCUCUUAUAA
rnacentral:rRNA from 1 species